CCACGCCUGUAAUGUGUUGGAGAAUCGUGUGUUGCUUAGAAACCAUGAAAUGAACGGAGAAGAUGUUUCCACAAUCGAUAGAUACUGUGAGAAUGGAGUCUCCAUCCACAAAAUGGCCUCUGGUCACAGCCAAUAAAUGUAAUAAAUACAUUUUAUACCGCAGCAGAAUAACUCUCCUCACAUGACACUUUAAUGACACGUGUAGCGCGAGCUUUUACUCGCAGAGUCACCCCAGGCUCCUCAUUUAGCACUGUCAAAACAUCCGAGAGAACAAACGAGUGGAGAUCGUCCAGGGGAACAUCCAGGGGAACGCCCAGGGGAACAUCCAGGAGAAAGGUCCAGGGGAACAUCCAGGAGAACAUCUAGGGGAAUGUCCAGGAGAAUGUCCAGAAGAAUGUCCAGGAGAAUAUCCAGAAGAAUGUCCAGAAGAAUGUCCAGGAGAACAUCCAGGAGAAUGUCCAGGAGAACAUCCAGGAGAAUGUCCAGGAGAAUGUCCAGGAGAACAUCCAGGAGAAUGUCCAGGAGAACAUCCAGGAGAAUGUCCAGGACAACAUCCAGGGGAAUGUCCAGGAGAACAUCCAGGGGAAUGUCCAGGAGAAAGGUCCAGGAGAACAUCCAGGAGAAUGUCCAGGAGAACAUCCAGGGGAAUGUCCAGGAGAAAGGUCCAGGAGAACAUCCAGGGGAAUGUCCAGGAGAACGUCCAGGAGAAAGGUCCAGGGGAACGUCCAGGAGAAAGGUCCAGGAGAACAUCCAGGGGAACGUCCAGGGGAACAUCAGACUGAGAAGAAGAGAUCAGCUACAGUGUCUACCUGCUUUAGUAAAAAAAAAAAUAAAAAACUGAACUGUUCAAAAGUUUGUGCUCCCCACACCAUUCUGAACGUAAUUCCUUCACAUAACAUCUUCUGUAAUUACCUCGAUUUCCAAGUUAUACCCUUAUAACCGCCUUGAAGUGGCUUAUCUUCCUAUAACAGCACUGUCUCAGCGUUUUAUUCCAAAGAAGACAGUUUUCCGUUUUAUUAAAGAACAACACGUACGUUUUAUCCGUUUCCAGGUACAUGUAAUGUCGGUUGAACAACUUACUUCCUGUUCACGCUCCCGUUAAAGCAGCCACAUGUUCCCACUCUUUUUCUCCCCUCUCGUGAAGUUCUCCUCUCCAGAACGUAUCGCUACAGCUUUACCCCUGACCGGUACAAAGCUCCGACACUGGAGACUCCUUUCAUAAAUGUGAAAUAAAAACAGAAAACUUGACCAUAUCCCAAAACAAAAAACGUAAACACGGAGCGUCCGCCGCACGAGCCCCUGCGAAUGACCCGUUCCCAUGGAAACGCGGACAUAUCAGAACGAGCGCGUCAAUAAAAAGGUGCGAAAGUCCUGCUAGGAUAAACGCCAUGCCGCUAAGAGCGACGUUGAUGAACCGCGGCAGCCGCCGAGCCGCCAUUAAUCACGCGCCUGCAGGGGAACAUUUCUGGACGACUGCGGAGUUUUCGUUCACCCAGGAUCCGAGAGCGAAAAGGACCUCGCUACUGCUUUUCUCGUCCUUUCCGUUCCGUUUUUUCUCUCCUACCCCCCUUCAGUGAAAGUUAUUAAUAACAUUCUUGACCACAAUUCAUUUUGACAAAUCGCUACUCGGGGUGCUGGGCGAGUUUGACGGCGUCUAACACCGCGCUUUGAUAACCUCCCACCUGCGAAACUCCUGUAGGAUAUUUGACUGAGAGAUAGCGCCUCGGCGAUACAGUUUUACAGGCUGUGUUUUAUUUAUUUACAGAAAUUCUCCGGGCAAUGACAGAAACGCGAGACGGAUCGUAUCUCCACCGACUGUCAGUCAAGUGCCUGGGAAGAGGAAAAUGAAAAAUAUGCAAUUAGUCGGCCGUCAGACGAGGCUUUCUUCGUGCCUCGGACACAAAUCACUCGCCGGUGUCACUCUGGAGGAAAGAAACGGCUUCUACGCCGUUUCCAGACGUCCAGGGUUCCUCUCAAAAGCUCAGUGGUUAAGGUGUUGGUCUACUGCUCAGAAGGUCAUGAGUUCAAACCCCAGCAGCACCAAGCUGCCACUGUUGGGCUCUUGAGCAAAGCUCUUAAUCCUCAAUUGUUCAGAUGUAUAAUUGAGAUAAAUCAAGUGAAACACGGUGGUGGCGGCGUCAUGCUCUGCUCUGGGGACGCUUUUCAUCUUCAAAACGUCUUCAAAGCUUAUCGUUAAGGGAGAACGGAUUGAGCGACAACGACGAGGCCCUUAACCCUCAACUGUUCGGUUGCAUAAAUGAGAUUGAAUGUAAGUCGCACUGGAUAAGGGCGUCUGCUAAAUGCCAUAAAUGUAAACAACAACAACAACAACAACAGAGGGGUAUUACAAGAGAACCUGGUUCAGUCUGGUAAAAAUAAAUAAAUAAAUAAAUAAAGCUCGGAGGAAAGUUCACCUUUCAGCAGGACAAUGCUGUUUCCCGUUCAAGAAGAACAAGGCUUUCUCUGAGUGGCAUCAAGCUGCUUAAUGCCAAUGUGUGUGUGUGUGUGUGUGUGUUAUCAGACAGAGCCUGCCGAUUUCCCCUUCCCUAAACUCUAAAUCCGUGCCUGGCCUGGACGAGCGUGAGAGCCGGGACAGUGGAUUUAUCUUCGGAUUUUUCUUUCUUUUUCUGUUUUCUGGAUUUAUAAAGCGCGCGUGUGUGUGUGUGUGUGUGUGUGAGUGUGUUAGCUACAGACACAAUCAACCCGUCUCUGUAAUCACGAGCUCGUGAUAUUCCGAGUGGAUUCGUGUUUUUUACGUGUAUGGAAUAUGGAAGUUCACAUACUGUUCCUCAGCGCUGUUGAAUUCUGGAUCCCGAUUGGUGCGUGAGGUGUCGAGUAGGUUUUCUACUAGGGACGGUAGCGCAGCCAUUAACGCGCUCGUUCUAAUAUGUUACCGUUUCUAUAGUGACGCUGGACGUACCGUACAUGAGCAGGAAGUAGGGGAGCGAACCGGUAGGACGGAAUCUCACGUGGCUCCGGCCGGAGCAUAUCUUCGUACUUGGAAUAAAAUAAUAAAAGCGUGCUCUUCGUCUCAUGCCUCUGACACGCCUCGACACCGGGCGAACGUUUUCGUUUACACCUGAUCGGAUCGAGUCUUACACGGCCGGUCGCUCCAGCCAAUGACGGUGCCGUCUUUUGACGAUCCGUUCCACGGGAACGAUUCCCGCGCCACGUCGCCGUUAACAACUUUUCACGCCCGUCCUCUCAGACAUCGGGGAUUUAUUCAAACGUAAUCGCAACGUACCGUCUCGGAUCACGGAUCGAGGUCGCGUGUUGUGUGUCGAGUAGAACAAAAGAACUAUAAAUAAAAUAAAUCAAUCCCUUAAUCGUUUAUAGUGCAAUAAGGGAGUAUAUAAUAGUGCACUAGAUAGUGUACAGAUGAUCAGUGUUACACUAUAUACUGCAUAUGUGGGAAAAUUCGCUACAAGAGACACCAUGUGUACACACUUGAAUUAAACCAUUACUCUUUUUUUUUUUCUUUCGCAAGUUGCCAAACGGUUCACUUCCUCCUCCUCC
ensembl:lncRNA